AACGCUGGCGGCGUGCCUGACGCAUGCAAGUCGAACGGGCGGACGGCUUUGGUCGUUCGUCAGUGGCAAACGGGUGAGUAACACGUAGGUGACCUGCCCUGGGGUGGGGGAUAACCCUUCGAAAGGGGGGCUAAUACCGCAUGAGCUCGGAGACGAGGAAAGCCGAGAGGCGCCCGAGGAGGGGCCUGCGGCCCAUCAGCUAGUUGGUGAGGUAAGGGCUCACCAAGGCGAAGACGGGUAGCUGGUCUGAGAGGACGGACAGCCACACUGGGACUGAGACACGGCCCAGACUCCUACGGGAGGCAGCAGCGAGGAAUUUUGCGCAAUGGGGGAAACCCUGACGCAGCAACGCCGCGUGGGUGAAGAAGGCCUUCGGGUUGUAAAGCCCUUUUCUGGGGGAAGAAGCUCUGACGGUACCCCAGGAAGAAGCCCCGGCUAACUACGUGCCAGCAGCCGCGGUAAGACGUAGGGGGCGAGCGUUGUCCGGAUUUACUGGGCGUAAAGCGCGCGUAGGCGGUGAUUCGCAUCGGUGGUGAAAGCCCCCGGCUCAACCGGGGGAGGUCCGCCGAGAUGGGAUCGCUGGAGGGCAGCAGAGGAAGGUGGAAUUCCCGGUGUAGUGGUGAAAUGCGUAGAGAUCGGGAGGAACACCAGAGGCGAAGGCGGCCUUCUGGGCUGGCCCUGACGCUGAGGUGCGAAAGCUAGGGAGCGAAAC
rnacentral:rRNA from 1 species